UACGUAGGGUGCAAGCGUUGUCCGGAAUUAUUGGGCGUAAAGAGCUCGUAGGCGGUUUGUCGCGUCUGCUGUGAAAACUCGGGGCUUAACCCUGGGCCUGCAGUGGGUACGGGCAGACUAGAGUGUGGUAGGGGAGACUGGAAUUCCUGGUGUAGCGGUGGAAUGCGCAGAUAUCAGGAGGAACACCGAUGGCGAAGGCAGGUCUCUGGGCCACUACUGACGCUGAGAAGCGAAAGCAUGGGGAGCGAACAGG
rnacentral:rRNA from 1 species